CCUACGAGCGGCAGCAGUGAGGAAUAUUGGUCAAUGGGCGCGAGCCUGAACCAGCCAAGUAGCGUGAAGGAUGACUGCCCUACGGGUUGUAAACUUCUUUUAUAAAGGAAUAAAGUGAGGCACGUGUGCCUUUUUGUAUGUACUUUAUGAAUAAGGAUCGGCUAACUCCGUGCCAGCAGCCGCGGUAAUACGGAGGAUCCGAGCGUUAUCCGGAUUUAUUGGGUUUAAAGGGAGCGUAGAUGGGUUGGUAAGUCCGUUGUGAAAGUUUGCGGCUCAACCGUAAAAUUGCAAUUGAUACUGGAAGUCUUGAGUACAGUUGAGGUAGGCGGAAUGCGUGGUGUAGCGGUGAAAUGCUUAGAUAUCACGAAGAACUCCGAUUGCGAAGGCAGCUUACUAACCUGCCACUGACAUUGAUGCACGAAAGUGUGGGUAUCGAACAGGAUUAGAUACCCUUGUAGUC
rnacentral:rRNA from 1 species